CCGGGAUCUGUUUGCACAGUCGGGGCGCUCGCUCCGCACCCCACCUCCGGAAGCAAAGCACCACGAGGUCAUCUGUUUACUCUGGGAUUAGCGGCUCCCAGCGGGAGCCCUUUUCCUCGGAGAUGAAAAGAAAGCGGACAAUCUGUCAGUGCCUUGGAAAGAACUGAGGGCUCCAGUCAUACACCAUCACCUCGCUACUAUCAAAAAUAGAAGCUCAUCACAAUGAAGAAACGAGCAAGUCCACCUUCAUUCAUUCCACCGGUACUUGUCGUUGAGUACCUAGCUCUGACUAGCUCUGUGCUGGCUACUCUCCUAGGUCCACAGUUCACACUAAGAGAAGGACCUAAAUUUUCGGGAAGUACUUCAUGAAAACAGGGCUACAUGGAAGUCACUCUUUGCCUCUACUUUUGCCGUCUGUGAAAUGGGUGGAGCAGAACGAGUGCUCACCUCCCAGACCCAGCCUACAGACUGCCAAGUGGCCUGGAACGUGGGAGGCCACAAGGAAAGUUGGCUGCACUGAGGCUGCCACGGUCCUGCUUGCUAGGAGCAUUAGGAUGAUGACUGUUCCUGAAAUCCAGGGAAUGUUUUUCUUUUUCCACAGAAGACCCAAACAGCUCGGUAUGUAUUAAAUCAGGUCCCAAGAAUCCGGCCCAGCUAAAAGCCUCACCCAGGGCAGCCAGGACUGGCUGGGGCUGGAACAGGAGGCCAACAGCACACCAGUUCUUGGACUACAUCCAAAGCCAGCCAGGCAGCAGAGACAGGAGGUUUGCUGAAUGCACAUUAUCUGCUACCAUCAUCUCUCAGGAAUGGUAUCCAAGGCCCCAACGAAGCCAUUUUUCUCUGAGGCAGCUUAACUGCUUGGUAAAGGAAAGGGUGGUUCUAACUCUGAACUCAACUGGGUGUUUCCAACUCCUGAGCCCCUCAGAAAACCUGAUGUCAACAAUCUUCUUGCUCCUCUUCCUCUUAGUUCAGGUCACAUGGUACCUACCUGUAGCCUGAACUACACAACAGGGGUUAUAGCCAAGAGGACUUAGGUCAGGUCUGGCUCUGUGAGUGGCCCUUGGGGGCAGGUAACAGUCUGACACUCAGACUCCUGGGGAGCUUUUGGGUCCCUUAAGACAAGGUCAGAAGUGCUUAGGCUUCAAAGUCAGGCCACCUGGCUCCUGGUCCGGGCCUUGCCACUCACCAGCGCAUGACCUUAGGCAGGUCACGUAACUUCCCUGAGCCUCCAUUGCACUUCUGUGGAUUGGUGGCAAGCAGUCUUUUGAAAAACUGGGAGGGGGCACCUGGGUGGCUUAGUGGUUGAGCAUAUGCCUUUGGCUCAGGUUGUGAUCCUGGGGUUCCGGGAUCAAGUCCCAUAUCAGGCUCCCAGCAGGGAGCCUGCUUCUCCUUCUGACUAUUUCUCUGACUCUCAUGAGUAGAUCAAUAAAAUGUUUAGGGAAAAAAAAAAAAAAAGGAAAAGAAAAGAAAAACUGGGAGGACUUGAAGGAACACCAGCCUGGAACACCAAAGACCCACAGAGCUACCACUUCCCUCCCCAGAGCUUCAGAAAGGACUGUACCUGGAGCAGUGGGCCAGUGUUUUGCUCUCCACCUGCUAGAUGCCAUUAUAUGUGUAUUGGGGAAUGUGGGAGCAUGAACAGGCCCCAAAAGGACCCAGAAGAAAGGAGCAAGACUCAACAGAGGGCUAGGGCCUGGGGAGGCUGACUUUUAUGUGAAGGAGGAGAAAGGGGCUUGGCUGAUGUGUGCUUUACUUUUCAGGAGCUUUCAAGAACCUUCCAGAACCCUCAGGGGUGAGUCUGAACUCUUGCUUGAGGAAAACAAGAGAAAGCUUAGAAAAUGAGUGGCCAGGGGAGUGGGCCAGUGAAUCACUGAGGACGUGUGCCACCGAGGUUGGGCAGGGACUGAAUGGAAGACCCAAUGGGGUGUGGGGCCUCACGUGGGAACUGACCAGGAUCAACGGUGCUCAGCUCAGAGAUUCAUCACAAACAAGGAAGACCCAGUCCUUGCCCUUGGUUACUUGGGACUCUGAUGCCAAUUCAGUAGUUCAUGCUUGGUGAGUCUCAGCGUUACGUGGGCAACUGACAUGAAUACAGCAGACCAAGACUCCUGUUUCUGGAAAGAUGGAGUAGAUGUUCUUUCUUCUAUUCCACCCUCUGAGUACAACUAAAAACCCUGAACGUUGCAGAGAGAACAAAGAGAAGAGGACUCUGAAGAGUGGAGAGAAGGCCAGCUGGCUAAGGACCCUGGGACCGAGGUGCCACAUGGUGGCGAAUUGGCCGGGUGUUUUUUUUUUUUUCUUUUGCUUCAUAGAGCCCAGAUUUGAACCAAAAGAGUCAACAACUCAGCAACACCAAUGGACACACACACAAACAAAAAAUUGUCGCAACAAAAGCCUACUCUCAUUAACCACAAGACCAGGAAGGGGGCGGGGCGGGCAGCAUAGCAAGAGAGAAAACUUUUUUUUUUUAACUGUGGUAAAACAUACAUAACCCAAAAUAAGCCACCUUAACCAUUUUUGUAGUCUGGUGGCAUCAAGCACGUUCACACUGUUGUGCAACCAUCACCACCAUCCUUCUCCAGAAAUGGUUUAUCUCGCUUAGCAUAUCAUCCUCAAGGCUUUACCACAUCGUAGCGUGUGCCAGAAUGUCCUUCCUUUUUAAGGCUGAACACUAGCCCGUUGCGUGUAUCUGCACCACAUUUCAUCUAGACACCUAUCAGUGGACACUUGGGUUUCCUCUGUGUUUGGGCUGUUGUAAAUAAUGUUGCUAUGAA